UAGCGUUACUGACGGAAUCUACAGCGUCUUGAGCUGAAUUAAGACUUCAGAAGUCAUUCGUCAUGUCGAAUGACCAGCGGAUAAACUCUCAGGUGUUUUGUGCCAGAAAUGGAGUGUCCACUGAAGACUGAAGAUACUGAAUCUCUACGCCGUGCCAUUGAUCCCUCUUGUGCCUUCAUCUAGACAAGAGACAUUAACUUAACCACUCUCACAUGCUCUGUACCUACAUCACCUUCCCUGACAGUCGUAGCUUGGCUCAUCUGAGGAUGCUGACAAGCUGACACCGUAAUAUGGAAGAGGGAGAGAAGCUGGAAAGGACUACUACAAAUAAACCCAAU
ensembl:lncRNA